rnacentral:tRNA from 1 species
GGGGAGUUAGUCCGUAGGGGGCAGCGGGGUAGACUGUAAAUCUACUGUCAUUGCGACUCGGGUGGUUCGACUCCAUCACUCCCCACCA